rnacentral:tRNA from 1 species
AUUUAUAUAGUAUAAAAAGUACAAUUGACUUCCAAUUAAUUAGUCUAUUACUCAAUAGUAUAAAUA